GAUGAACGCUGGCGGCGUGGAUAAGGCAUGCAAGUCAAGGGGUCUCGAGAGCAAUCGAGAGACACCGGCAGACGAGGUAGUAAUAAGUAGGUAACGUACCGAGGAGACGGGUAUAGCUCGCCGAAAGGCGGGGUAAUCCCCGAUAGUUCCGUUUAACUUUUGGGAUAAUAAUUUUUUUUGUUGUUCUAAAAGUUGAACGGAUAAAGUCGUAAGACACUCUUUGAACGGCCUAUUCGGUAUCAGCUAGUUGGUAGGGUAAUGGCCUACCAAGGCUAUGACGCCUAGGGGAGCUGAGAGGCUGACCCCCACCGAUGGGACUGAGACACGGCCCAUACACCUACGGGUGGCUGCAGUCGAGAAUCUUCCGCAAUGGACGAAAGUCUGACGGAGCGACGCCGCGUGGAGGAUGAAGUACUUCGGUACGUAAACUCCUUUUAUCGGGGAAAAAGUUUAUUGAUGGUACCCGAGGAAUAAGAGGUUGCUAAACUCGUG
rnacentral:rRNA from 1 species